rnacentral:rRNA from 1 species
GUAAGGCCCUUCGGGGUACACGAGCGGCGAACGGGUGAGUAACACGUGGGUGAUCUGCCUUGCACUUCGGGAUAAGCCUGGGAAACUGGGUCUAAUACCGGAUACGACCUUCCAGUGCAUGCUGGUUGGUGGAAAGAUUUAUCGGUGCGAGAUGGGCCCGCGGCCUAUCAGCUUGUUGGUGAGGUAACGGCUCACCAAGGCGACGACGGGUAGCCGACCUGAGAGGGUGACCGGCCACACUGGGACUGAGACACGGCCCAGACUCCUACGGGAGGCAGCAGUGGGGAAUAUUGCACAAUGGGCGAAAGCCUGAUGCAGCGACGCCGCGUGCGGGAUGACGGCCUUCGGGUUGUAAACCGCUUUUGACAGGGACGAAGCGCAAGUGACUGUACCUGUAGAAUAAGGACCGGCCAACUACGUGCCAGCAGCCGCGGUAAUACGUAGGGUCCGAGCGUUGUCCGGAAUUACUGGGCGUAAAGAGCUUGUAGGCGGUUCGUCGCGUCGUUUGUGAAAACUUGGGGCUCAACCUUAAGCUUGCAGGCGAUACGGGCGGACUAGAGUACUUCAGGGGAGACUGGAAUUCCUGGUGUAGCGGUGAAAUGCGCAGAUAUCAGGAGGAACACCGGUGGCGAAGGCGGGUCUCUGGGAAGUAACUGACGCUGAGAAGCGAAAGCAUGGGUAGCAAACAGGAUUAGAUACCCUGGUAGUCCAUGCCGUAAACGGUGGGUACUAGGUGUGGGGCUCCUUCCACGGACUCCGUGCCGUAGCUAACGCAUUAAGUACCCCGCCUGGGGAGUACGGCCGCAAGGCUAAAACUCAAAGAAAUUGACGGGGGCCCGCACAAGCGGCGGAGCAUGUGGAUUAAUUCGAUGCAACGCGAAGAACCUUACCUGGGUUUGACAUACACCAGAAACACGUAGAGAUACGUGCCCCCUUGUGGUUGGUGUACAGGUGGUGCAUGGCUGUCGUCAGCUCGUGUCGUGAGAUGUUGGGUUAAGUCCCGCAACGAGCGCAACCCUUAUCUUAUGUUGCCAGCGCGUAAUGGCGGGGACUCGUGAGAGACUGCCGGGGUCAACUCGGAGGAAGGUGGGGACGACGUCAAGUCAUCAUGCCCCUUAUGUCCAGGGCUUCACACAUGCUACAAUGGCCGGUACAGAGGGCUGCGAUACCGUGAGGUGGAGCGAAUCCCUUAAAGCCGGUCUCAGUUCGGAUCGGGGUCUGCAACUCGACCCCGUGAAGUUGGAGUCGCUAGUAAUCGCAGAUCAGCAACGCUGCGGUGAAUACGUUCCCGGGCCUUGUACACACCGCCCGUCACGUCAUGAAAGUCGGUAACACCCGAAGCCGGUGGC